ensembl:lncRNA
UUACAAAAGUAUCAGUUUAUGAUGUUUGAACAUUUUUUAAAAAUCUGGUGCUUCAUUGUAGAUAGUUUGAGAAGCACAGUUCCCAACCAGAGGGUAUCAAAUCUUGCUACAUACCCAUCUAAGGAACUUGGUAAAAAGCAAGAGCUCCAGGAACCAUACUAAUUCAAUGAGCUCUGUAUUUUUUCUUAUUGCUUCAGGUAGUUCUGAUUCACACAAACUCUGAGAAUCAAUCACUAAAUUAAUCUCUAAGUGAUUUUCAAAAUUUGAGUUUCACCUCUUCUUGAAGCCCUUCUGAUGUCCCAUUCAUUGAAGGCUGUACAGUAGACAGAGUUAACUAAGCAAGCUAAGGCCUCUUACUGGGUGGAGAAUUUUGGAAUAUAUCAUGGUUGUUAGUUUACUAUGAACCUUGGUCUCUUCACUCACGGAUUGAAAUUGGGAUAGUGAAAUUAAUAAGGACCAUGUUUUGAUACUACAUACUGGCAGGAAUAUAGAAAUUAUUUUGCUAUUAUUCGGUUAAAUGGGCACAAAACAUGAAGAAUAUAAUUCUCCUGCUUGUAAAGCAUAAACAUUUUCUGUAAGUUGCUAAUAUUCUCUCAAACACAACCUUCCCCUUUUCUUUCAAUUUAACCUUCAUGCAACGAAAAAAAUCUGAGGGCCUAUGUGAUACCAGCAACAAUCCUUACCUUUUUCAGCAGACUGUGCGCCCUCCUGCUUUUCCCCCAAAUGCAUGUCAGUUGCUUACUUAAGAGUAGUUCUCCAGGUGUGGCCUCUGGACCAGGAGCAGCAGAAUCACCUGGGAAACUCUCAGAUUCUUGAGUCUCCCCCCAACCUGCUGAAUCAGAAAUUCUGGAAAGGGGCUUUAUAACUAAGAGGUAAGAGUAAGAAUGGAUACAUGUGUGGAGUAAGAAUGGAUACAUGUAUAUGUGUGUGUGUGUGUAUAUAUAUAUAUACAUAUAUAUAUAUAACUGAAACAGAUUUUAGUUUAUAUGAAGACAAAUAUGAUAAACUCACCUAUUAUGCCCUUGCUUUUAGGGUUGUACUGUAUCUGUGCUUCCAGGUCAUCAUAGAAAAAGUUCAUGGUGGGAGAAUUUCUGUAUGUAGCUUAUAAAUUUGACACUUCAUUAAUAUCAAAUGAGCAGCCAACAGUUCUGUUUUGGCUUCCCUUAAGAGCCUCUUUCUGGAUCCACAGUCACUAAACACAGGUUCCUUCAUCAGCAAUUUAUGGUAUCACAGCAGUGGAUUCUAUUCCAAGAAGACACUUGUACUUUGGAGAGAAAUGACUAUAGAUCACCUUGAUGUUCUUUUCUUUUCAGUUUUACUCUGCAAGGUUUGAGCUAUUAAUUCUUCCCAUCUAUAUGGACUAAUAUUUCAAGAAUCCUUCUUUUAUAAGUCCUCUUGGGAUCCUAAAUACAGAAAGAACCCCACCCCGGAAAUCAAACUGCUUGUAUCUUGUUGCACCUAUAUGAAGAGUCAUAAUCAAGCAAGGUGGUGACACUCACAGUUCUGGAAAGCAAGCUCCAGUAAGGGGAGAAAUUCAGCCCAGCUGGCAUUGUACUUGCUGCAAAAAUCACAAUCUCCCAGACAAAACAGUCCUCACACGGAUCAACAGGAAAAGACAAGCACAGCUUCCGAUCUCUUUAAAUCACAGUAGAGAGAUCAUUAUGUCAUUAGUGUUCAAACUAGGAGGCACCGUAGGUUUCCUCAGUAAAAUGCCUCUUAUUUCACAGAUGACUUGGUUAAGCGAUUUGCUUAAAGAUAGUCAAGGAGUUAAUGAAAAAAUCAAGAUGAGAAACCAUUUCUAUUUUCAUAGUAUGCCUUUCUCCCAAAACACUAAGUUCUCAUGCCUUAGAUUAUGCAGGAAUUUAAAUGAGGACUUCUAGUAGUAUGCAUGCUUGGCUAUUCCUACUGGUCUGCAGGAACUACAAGGACCAUUCCUUCAAGAACUGUCAGGACAAUUUAUUUACCGCAUCACUAUCUACUUCAGAACCUAAGCCUUGAAUUCCCUCCCUCUACCACCUAAAACUGCUCUUCUGGUUCAUUCAGUCUAAUCUCUUAACUGACAUCAACACCAUCUUUUUUUCUUUCUCUAUCAAUAUUCUGGAUAGUCAGAAUUAGCGGGAUUUAAGUUUUAGUCUUCACACUGUUGAUUAUUCUCCAUGCCAUCUUGGGCAGGUUAUGUAUCCUGCCUAGACUUCUACUGCCUCAUUUAAACAUACUAAACAUAAUUGAGUCUAGUCAGGGGCUCUUUUUGUGAGGUCAGAUCUCCAAGCUCAGUAAGUCUAUGAAAAAUUGUAUGUUUAAUUUUAUGUGCAUAUAUUGUGAGCAUUACAUUACAGUAUAGAAAGGAUACCUAAAUUUAAUUAGUUAAGAAUUUCUGGGCUAAAUGAUUUCUUGAGUCCAUUCAAACUGAUUCUGUAAAUUACACUAUAUGAUGAAAAGAUAUCUCAUUUUGUCCAUAGAAAUCCAUUUAUUUAAUCCAUCUACUUUGUCUUCAGUUUACCUGAAGCCCAAGGGAUCUGGAAUAGUAUUUCACAACACCUACCUACUGGUUACAGGUUAUCCCCCAAAAAACUGCAGUCACCUUCCCUACAGUCUGUUUCCACAGCUGCUUCCUUGAGCUGCUGCCUUAUUUCUGAUAGUAAGCUCUAAUUGCCUUUCUGACUUCCUCUAACACCUGCUAUUGA